rnacentral:rRNA from 1 species
GAUGAACGCUGGCGGCGUGCCUAAUACAUGCAAGUCGAACGCUGGAACUCUAGCUUGCUAGAUUGAAGGAGUGGCGAACGGGUGAGUAAUACAUAAGCAACCUACCCACGAAGACUGGGAUAAUCUCUGGAAACGGGGACUAAUACCGGAUAGGUAAUCGGAAGGCAUCUUCUGAUUAUUAAAGGUUAGAAACACUGGUGGAUGGGCUUAUUGUGCAUUAGUUAGUUGGUGAGGUAACGGCCCACCAAGACGAUGAUGCGUAGCCGGCCGGAGAGGGUGCACGGCCACAGUGGGACCGAGACAAGGCCCAGACUCCUACGGGAGGCAGCAGUAGGGAAGGUUCGGCAAUGGGGGAAACCCUGACCGAGCAACGCCGCGUGAGUGAUGACGGCCUUCGGGUUGUAAAGCUCUGUUGUAAGGGAAGAACGGUAGAUAGAGAAUAUCUAAAUGACGGUACCUUACCAGAAAGCCACGGCUAACUACGUG